rnacentral:lncRNA from 1 species
ACAGGUGUCACUAAUGGGCCUUACUGGCUCUAAUUGGACUCAUCUAGCUUUCUGUCAGCAUUCUCUGCCCACGAGCCCAGAAGCUGCAUUUCAACCUUUCUCAUAGUGCUGAAAGUCAUUUAUUGCUUCUGAUUCAGGACAUCAGCUGGUCACCUGCAGUGAUGAGGAAGGAACUGUCUGUUUCUAUUGCACCCCUUCUAUCAUUCCUUUUCCUGUCUGCAGUAUCUACACAAAGCUGCUAUUGUUAUCAUUGCUUAUUUUUCUAGUAAUAGCAUAUUUUUGAAAUGCAGGAAGAUAAUUCUGAAUUUGAACACAUUACUGAUAUAUGCUGUAAUAAAAUGGUCCCUGUUUUGCUUUGUACUUAUUUACUAAUGUUCUGUUGUCCUUCUGGCCACAUAUGAGCACUUUGCUGUUUGUUUCCACAGAACUAUUUGCAGUGAGGCUAAGACCCCUUUCUUAGAGUCAUAGAGACUCAUUAUGAUUCUCACACAUGGAAACAAAUGAGCUAACUGCAGUCAGGAUUGCUCAUUCCAGGUGUUUACUGAAUUCUGUCAGCUAUUUUAUCACAUAGUUGCUAACAUGAGAUCCUUCUUCAACUGUUUGCAAACUCAGUAAUGUUUAGAGAACAAAGGAAAUAACAGACAUGAGUGAAAACUGUUUAACCUCUUAAAGAUUAACUUCACUGCACGUACAGUCAGUCGUAUGUCUCCUUUCAUACUUGGUUUCCUACAGAGCUUUUUGGACACGGGCACAGGCCUUCUGUUAGCUCCUAUGACUGCUGUGCAAGUACUCAGCUUCUUAAACAGACUGAGAGCACAGUGUUCAGAAUUGGAUGAAAUGCCCGCUGUCUGGGUGGAAAGUGAUACCCAAGAGCUGAUAUCUUCUCUCUCACAAGUCUCAGACCUGAUGCCUGGAUGGAGCUUUUCGAUUCUAAACUGUGCAUUGCUUCGAAGUCUUGCAGAUAUCUAGAGGGGACUAUCUUUCAGACUGAACUGUGAAGUUCCCUCUUGAACACUUAGGAGAUAAAGUAAGCAUGCAUAA